rnacentral:rRNA from 1 species
UCAAGUUAUGAAGGGCGCAGGGUGGAUGCCAUGGCACUGGACGCCGAAGAAAGACGUGGUAAGCUGCGAAAAGCCACGGGGAGCCGCAAGCAGGCUUUGAUCCGUGGAUCUCUGAAUGGGGAAACCCGGCGGAAGUAAUGUUCCGUCAUCCGUGAAUGAAUCCAUAGUUCACGAGAAGGGCACCCGGGGAACUGAAACAUCUAAGUACCCGGAGGAAAAGAAAGAAACAUCGAUUUCGUCAGUAGCGGCGAGCGAAAGCGAAGGAGCCCAAACCAUCCGACUACGGUUGGGUGGGGUUGUGGGUCAGCAACGUGCACGAUGAUGCUUAGGAGAAGAGUUCUGGAAAGGACUUCCAAAGAGGGUAAGAGGCCCGUAUCCGAAAAGUUGAAUCGGCUAGCUGAUACCAGAGUACCACAGGACACGAGGAAUCCGGUGGGAAGCAGGAGGGACCACCCUCCAAGGCUAAAUACGAUCCAGUGACCGAUAGCGCAUAGUACCGUGAGGGAAAGGUGAAAAGAACCCCGGGAGGGGAGUGAAAAAGAACCUGAAACCCUGUGCUUACAAGCAGAGAGAGCACGAUCAAGUGUGAUCUCGUACUUUUUGUAGAACGGACCGGCGAGUUACGUUAUGCAGCGAGGUUAAGGACUGAAGGUCUGGAGCCGAAGCGAAAGCGAGUCUGAACAGGGCGCAUAGUUGCAUGACGUAGACCCGAAACCGGGUGACCUAUCCAUGGGCAGGUUGAAGUGGAAGUAAAAUUUCAUGGAGGACCGAACCAGACGUCUGUUGAAAAAGGCGGGGAUGACCUGUGGAUAGCGGAGAAAUUCCAAUCGAACCCGGAGAUAGCUGGUUCUCCUCGAAAUAGCUUUAGGGCUAGCCUCGCAUUAGUUUACCGGAGGUAGAGCACUGAAUGGUCUAGGGGGCCUCACCGCCUACCGAAACCUAUCAAACUGCGAAUGCCGGAUAAAUGAUGUGCGGGAGUCAGGCCGCGAGAGAUAAGUUCCGCGGUCAAAAGGGGAACACCCCAGAUCGUCUGCUAAGGUCCCCAAGUACGCGUUAAGUGGGAAAGGAUGUUGGAUUGCACAGACAACCAGGAUGUUGGCUUAGAAGCAGCCACACAUUCAAAGAGUGCGUAAUAGCUCACUGGUCGAGUGAUCCAGCGCCGAAAAUGUAACGGGGCUAAAACGCGACACCGAAGCAGCGGGAUGCGUAAGCAUCGGUAGAGGAGCAUUGUGUGAGGGUCGAAGCCAGAGCGGGAGCACUGGUGGACUUCACAGAAGAGAGAAUGCCGGUAUGAGUAGCGAGACCCAUGCGAGAAACAUGGGCGUCGAAGGCCCAAGGUUUCCUGGGGAAGGUUCAUCCACCCAGGGUAAGUCGGGACCUAAGCCGAGGACUGAGGUCGUAGGCGAUGGACAGCAGGUAGAGAUUCCUGCACCACUUAUACUUGUUUGACGAAGCAGUGACACAGAAGGAUAGGACGAGCGCGGUGAUGGUCAACCGCGUAGGCGGCACGAGGCCGGGAAGCAGUGAAGUACACUUCCCGCAAAGGCUGAGUGUUGACAGGACCGAAAAGAAGUAGGGAAGCGUCCGAGUUCACGCUGGCGAGAAAAGCUGCUAAGGAGAGUGUGAGUGCCCGUACCGGAAACCGACGCAGGUGGGCGAGGAGAGAAUCCUGAGACGGACGGGAGAACUCUUGUUAAGGAACUCGGCAAAAUGACCCCGUAACUUCGGGAGAAGGGGUGCCUCGAAAGAGGCCGCAGAGAAUAGUCACAAGCGACUGUUUAGCAAAAACACAGGUAUCUGCGAAAGCGAGAGCUGACGUAUAGGUGCUGACGCCUGCCCGGUGCUGGAAGGUUAAGGGGAAGUGUUAGGGGAAACCCGAAGCAGAGAACCGAAGCCCCAGUAAACGGCGGCCGUAACUAUAACGGUCCUAAGGUAGCGAAAUUCCUUGUCGGGUAAGUUCCGACCCGCACGAAUGGCGUAACGACUUGUGAGCUGUCUCAACAGGAGGCCCGGUGAAAUUGAAGUAUGUGUGAAGAUGCACAUUACCCGCGACUGGACGGAAAGACCCCGUAGAGCUUUACUGUAACCUGACAUUGGAUCUUGAUAACGGAUGCACAGGAUAGGUGGGACGCUGGGAGACGAGGACUUUGGUUUUCGUGGAGCGGCCGUUGGGAUACCACUCUUCUGUUAUUGAGAUUCUAACCUCAAGCCGUGAGCCGGAUGAGAGACAGUGUCAGGCGGACAGUUUGACUGGGGCGGUCGCCUCCGAAAGAGUAACGGAGGCGCCCAAAGGU